UAGGGAAUCUUCCGCAAUGGACGCAAGUCUGACGGAGCAACGCCGCGUGAGUGAAGAAGGAUUUCGGUUCGUAAAACUCUGUUGUUAGAGAAGAACAGCGCAUAGAGUAACUGUUAUGCGUGUGACGGUAUCUAACCAGAAAGCCACGGCUAACUACGUGCCAGCAGCCGCGGUAAUACGUAGGUGGCAAGCGUUGUCCGGAUUUAUUGGGCGUAAAGCGAGCGCAGGCGGUCAAUUAAGUCUGAUGUGAAAGCCCCCGGCUCAACCGGGGAGGGUCAUUGGGAACUGGUGGACUUGAGUGCAGAAGAGGAGAGUGGAAUUCCAUGUGUAGCGGUGAAAUGCGUAGAUAUAUGGAGGAAAACCAGUGGCGAAGGCGACUCUCUGGUCUGUAACUGACGCUGAGGCUAGAAAGCGUGGGUAGCAAACAGG
rnacentral:rRNA from 1 species